UACGGAGGGUGCGAGCGUUGUCCGGAAUCACUGGGCGUAAAGGGCGCGUAGGCGGCUGGGGGAAGUCGGCGGUGAAAGCCCGGAGCUCAACUCCGGGUCGGCCGUCGAGACUCCUCGGCUCGAGCUCACUAGAGGCAGAUGGAAUUCCGGGUGUAGCGGUGGAAUGCGUAGAGAUCCGGAAGAACACCGGUGGCGAAGGCGGUCUGCUGGGGGUGAGGCUGACGCUGAGGCGCGACAGCGUGGGGGAGCAAACAGG
rnacentral:rRNA from 1 species